rnacentral:misc_RNA from 1 species
CUGCAUCCUAUUUGCUGUUGUACAUGCUUGCUAGUCACAUAGUUGGCUCGUUCUGGUAUUUGCUUUCUGUGGAACGCUAUGAUACAUGCUGGGAAAGAGCUUGUAGUCAUAACACAACAUGCCAAACUGAUUUCUUGUACUGCGGCAAUCAAGGCAUGACAGGGUAUAAUGCUUGGAGCAAUAUCAGUGAAUCGGUUUUAAAUGGAGCAUGCCCUCGUAGCGGUGACAAUCCACCAUUUGAUUUUGGAAUUUUCGCGCAGGCUUUGUCAUCAGGCAUAGUUUUCUCAAUGAAGUUUGUGACUAAAUAUUGCUACUGUUUGUGGUGGGGACUCCAGAAUUUAAGUACCCUUGGACAGGGACUUCAAACUAGCACAUAUCCUGGGGAGUCUUUAUUCUCUAUUGCACUAGCGAUACUCGGGCUCAUUCUCUUUGCAUUGCUGAUUGGUAACAUGCAGACAUACCUUCAGUCACUUACUAUUCGACUUGAAGAGAUGAGAGUUAGAAGGCGUGACUCGGAACAAUGGAUGCAUCACAGAUUGCUUCCACAAGAACUUCGAGAACGGGUAAGGGGCUAUGAUCAGUACAAGUGGCAAGAAACACGUGGAGUGGAUGAAGAAAAUAUAGUUCAGAAUUUGCCCAAGGAUCUCAGGAGGGAUAUCAAACGUCAUCUUUGUCUGGCUCUAGUGAAGAGGGUGCCUCUAUUUGCAAAUAUGGAGGAGAGAUUGCUUGAUGCAAUUUGUGAGCAUCUAAAACCUUGUUUGUACAUCGAGAACACUUACCUUGUUCGAGAAGGAGAUCCAGUGGAUGAAAUGCUCUUUGUGAUACGAGGGCGCCUUGAGAGUGUGACAACUGAUGGUGGGAGAAGUGGUUUCUUCAACCGUAGUUUGUUGAAAGACAGCGACUUUUGUGGAGAGGAACUUCUAACCUGGGCACUGGAUCCAAAAUCUGGCUCUAACCUCCCAUCUUCCACUCGUACGGUGAAAGCUCUGACAGAAGUGGAGGCUUUCGCUCUUACAGCAGAUGAGUUGAAAUUCGUUGCCAGUCAGUUCAGACGUCUUCACAGUAGGCAAGUUCAGCACACAUUCCGUUUCUACUCACAACAAUGGCGGACUUGGGGUGCUUGCUUUAUCCAAGCAGCGUGGAGGCGGUACACAAAGAGAAAACUUAUGGAGCUCCAACGGAAGGAAGAAGAAGAAGCCGAGGCAUUAGCUGCAGGUAGUGGUAGUUCCGGUGGCCCUACUUACAGUAUCCGUGCAACGUUCUUGGCAUCGAAGUUUGCAGCAAAUGCCCUCCGAGGCGUUCAUAGGAAUCGGAAUCUAAAGAGUGCUAGGGAGCUGGUGAAACUACAGAAGCCUCCAGAACCAGAUUUUAGUGCAGAUGCAGAUUGAUUUUGUUUUUGAAUAUAUGCUCAUUCUGAUUUUGGUGAGUUUGCAAAGAGGCUUUAAUGUAUAAUUUUAUGAUUUAGAGUGCUACUGCAACAAUAUUGUGU